rnacentral:rRNA from 1 species
UACGAAGGGGGCUAGCGUUGCUCGGAAUUACUGGGCGUAAAGGGCGCGUAGGCGGACUUUUAAGUCGGGGGUGAAAGCCCAGGGCUCAACCCUGGAAUUGCCUUCGAUACUGAGAGUCUUGAGUUCGGAAGAGGUUGGUGGAACUGCGAGUGUAGAGGUGAAAUUCGUAGAUAUUCGCAAGAACACCAGUGGCGAAGGCGGCCAACUGGUCCGAUACUGACGCUGAGGCGCGAAAGCGUGGGGAGCAAACAGGG